ACCAUGUAUUUUUGAUUUUUGGGCCCCGUUAUCAAAUUGGUCCACAUUGAGGUAAAAAGGGUCCAAACUUAAACUUUGUUUGAUUUCAUCAAAAAUUGAAUUCUUUGGAUUCUUUAAUUUGAUAUGCUGAAUCUAACAAUGUAUUUAGAUUUUGGAUAUUGGACCAUAAUAGGUAAAUUAAAAAAAUUUAAGUUCUUAGACCACAUUCAUUCUGUGUCAGAAACCUAUGCUGUGUCAAAUAUUUGAUCACAAUCCAAAUUCAGUGCUGUAUCAAGCUUGAAUGUUGUGUCCAUACUUGCCCCAACUGUUCAGGGUUCGACCUCUGCGGUCGUAUCUAGCUGCGCCCAGCAGAGCAUUUUAUUGAUUUAUAUAUAAAAGCAAAUAAUAAUGAUAUGGUUUGAUUUCAUCAAAAAUUGAAAUAUUGGGGUUCUUAGAUAUGCUGAAUCUAACCGUGUAUUUAGAUUCUUAAUUUUUGGUCCCGUUUUCAAAUUGGUCUACAUUAAGGUCCAAAGGGUCCAAAAUUAAACUUAGUUUGAUUUUAACAAAGAUUGAAUUCUUGGGGUUCUUUGAUAUGCUGAAUCUAACUGUGUAUGUAUUUAGAUUUUGGAUAUUGGACCAUAAUAGGUAAAUUAAAAUUUGUUAAGUUCUUAGACCACAUUCAUUCUGUGUCAGAAACCUAUGCUGUGUCAAAUAUUUAAUCACAAUCCAAAUUCAGAGCUGUAUCAAGCUUGAAUGUUGUGUCCAUACUUGCUCCAACUGUUCAGGGUUCGACCUCUGCGGUCGUAUCAAGCUGCGCCCAGCGGAGCAUUUUAUUUCUAUUGUUCAGACCUAUAUGACAUGACUGUCGAACCAUUUGUCUGACAGAAACUCAAACAGUUUGGCACAAACUGUUAUGGAAUUGUUAUAUGAAAUUUUUUCCACUUUCCAUCCUUGCCUACUCACACAUGACUUUUUAAAAUUAAUUUUGCAGGUUUUUUU